CACCAAGGUUGAGCCUCCUCAAAAAAGCUGUCGAAAGGGAUAGAGCAUCACCUCCUACAAGCAGUGUGACAAAGAGGAGGAGAGGGUCUCCCAAAGAAGAUAGAGCACAGUGGAAUGCAAGCCUUGAGAAAGAUCUUGUGGACUUGCUUCGUGAGCAUGAUACACCUGAACAUAAGGGUCAAAAUGGAUGGAGCUCAGAAGCAUGGAAUACGAUAGUGAAGAAAUUCCACCAAAAGAAUCCUUAUGCUAGGUACGAGAA